ACGUAUACUCCUCUCUUCUCCAUGGUGAUGCUUCUGUCUAUGAAUCAAUCAGAGGUUCUGAAGACACUGAAAAUGAUUCAGGCUUUAUCAGGCCGAUCCAGUCUGAGAGCACCAAUCAGGACCCCGCCGUGAAUCACAUGGUCAACCUGAAUGAACCUCA